rnacentral:rRNA from 1 species
UGGGGAAUUUUGGACAAUGGGCGCAAGCCUGAUCCAGCCAUGCCGCAUGCGGGAAGAAGGCCUUCGGGUUGUAAACCGCUUUUGUCAGGGAAGAAAUCUUCUGAGUUAAUACCUCGGGAGGAUGACGGUACCUGAAGAAUAAGCACCGGCUAACUACGUGCCAGCAGCCGCGGUAAUACGUAGGGUGCAAGCGUUAAUCGGAAUUACUGGGCGUAAAGCGUGCGCAGGCGGUUUUGUAAGACAGAGGUGAAAUCCCCGGGCUCAACCUGGGAACUGCCUUUGUGACUGCAAGGCUUGAGUGCGGCAGAGGGGGGAUGGAAUUCCGCGUGUAGCAGUGAAAUGCGUAGAUAUGCGGAGGAACACCGAUGGCGAAGGCAAUCCCCUGGGCCUGCACUGACGCUCAUGCACGAAAGCGUGGGGAGCAAACAGGAUUAGAUACCCUGGUAGUCCACGCCCUAAACGAUGUCAACUGGUUGUUGGGAAGGUUCCUUCUCAGUAACGUAGCUAACGCGUGAAGUUGACUGCCUGGGGAGUACGCCGCAAGGUUGAAACUCAAAGGAAUUGACGGGGUCAUAGC